rnacentral:rRNA from 1 species
GGGGAGCAUGGGGCUAACUGCAGUCGAGCGAUCUUUUGUUAUAUGAUAUGAAGUGCUUGCUCUCAAUGAGAUUUUACUGCGCAUGGUGAGUGGCGAUACGGUAUGCAGAUAACGCGUGCUGUUACCUGCACUACAUACAGGGAGAUAACAUGCGUGUGUAUAUGCUGUAUGCUACUCACCGUAGUAACAGAAAGAGACCCCCUGGUUUUCUUUUAGAUGAUGGCUCUGCUAUUAUAUUCUGGAUGGACUCACUACGCAAUAUCUAAUUGUGAACGUAACGGCUCACCCUGGCAAUCAUGCGUAACUCAUCUGAGAGGGUAAUCUGCCAAAUUGUGACUGAGACACGACCGCCACUCCUACCGGCAGGCACGCUGAACGAUAAUCUUCCUUCAUGUACGCAAGUUUUAUGGACCAACACCAUCAUGACUGAACAUUGGUUUCGAGCUCCUAGAGUUCUGUUGUGUCAGAAGACCCUGUGUGACAUUAACUGUUCACCCUAUGACGAAUUUUAGCCAGAAAACCACGCCUAAGUACUUGUUUACAUCCGAGGUGAUACGUAAGUGGUCAGCGUUAUCCGGAUUUAUUGACUGUAAAACUUGCGUGCGCGGUCUUUUAAGUCUAAUGCGAAAGCCUUCGGCUCAUGCGAAGAUGUGCAUUGGAAUCUGGGAGACUUGAGUGCCUAUCAGGACAGUGAAUCUCCCUGUGUAGCGAUGACAUGCGUAGAUAUUUGGAGGAACCCCAGUGGCGAGGGCGGCUGUCUGGUCUGUACCUGACGCUGAGGCUCGAAAGCAUGGGUAGCGACCAGGAUUAGAUACCUUGGUAGUCCACGCCGUAAACGAUGAUUACUAAGUGUNGGAGGGUUUCCCCCCUUUCAGUGGGACAGUUAACGCAUUAUGUUAUCCGCUUGAGGAGUACGACCGCAAGUAGAAAUCUCAAAAGAAUGAGAGGGGGGCCCGCACAAACGGGAGCGCAUGUGGUAUAUUUGGAAGAAUACGAGAAACCUCUUAUCAGGUCUUGAUAUCAUCUGCCUACCUAAGAGAGUAGGCGUUCCCUUCGGGGACAGAAUGACAGGUGGUGCAUGGUUGUCGUCAGCUCGUGUCGUGAGAUGUUGGGUUAAGUCCCGCAACGAGCGCAACCCUUACUAUUAGUUGCCAGCAUUCAGUUGGGCACUCUAGAGAGACUGCCGGUGACAAACCGGAGGAAGGUGGGGAUGACGUCAAAUCAUCAUGCCCCUUAUGACCAGGGCUACACACGUGCUACAAUGGAUGGUACAGCGAGUCGCCAAACCGCGAGGUUGAGCUAAUCUCUUAAAACCAUUCUCAGUUCGGACUGUAGGCUGCAACUCGCCUACACGAAGUCGGAAUCGCUAGUAAUCGCGGAUCAGCAUGCCGCGGUGAAUACGUUCCCGGGCCUUGUACACACCGCCCGUCACACCAUGAGAGUGGUAACGCCCACAAGCCGUGAGCUAUCCUAUAGGAUCUUCCUCUAAGGUGACCAGCUCAUCC